rnacentral:lncRNA from 1 species
CCUUACAAAUAUUUGAACGUACAAAUCCUCUACUUCUCACAUACGUCAAGCUUCGUUGGAAAGUGGGAUGAAGCCUCGGAUCAUCAUACCUUUUGAAGGCAGCAAGGAGGGAGGAUGAAGAGCUUUGGUGUGAUGCCUCACACCUGAAAGUAGGACAUUAGGACCUCUUCACACCAAGAGGGGUUGGAUGCCCAAAACCCACACGCCAAGGA